AUUGGACGCUGGCGGCAUGCUUUACACAUGCAAGUCGAACGGCAGCACGGACUUCGGUCUGGUGGCGAGUGGUGAACGGGUGAGUAAUACAUCGGAACGUACCCAGUAAUGGGGGAUAACUAGUCGAAAGAUUAGCUAAUACCGCAUACGCCCUACGGGGGAAAGAGGGGGAUCGCAAGACCUCUUGUUAUUGGAGCGGCCGAUGGCUGAUUAGCUAGUUGGUGGGGUAAAGGCCUACCAAGGCGACGAUCAGUAGCGGGUCUUAGAGGACGAUCCGCCACACUGGAACUGAGACACGGUCCAGACUCCUACGGGAGGCAGCAGUGGGGAAUCUUGGACAAUGGGCGAAAGCCUGAUCCAGCAAUGCCGCGUGCGUGAAGAAGGCCUUCGGGUUGUAAAGCGCUUUUGUCUGGGAGCAAAUCCUUGUGGCUAAUACCCACCGGGGAUGAGAGUACCAGAAGAAUAAGGACCGGCUAACUACGUGCCAGCCGCCGCUGUAAGAC
rnacentral:rRNA from 1 species